rfam:Callithrix jacchus chromosome 6, whole genome shotgun sequence
AGCUGGUCUGAGUUCAGUGGUGUUUACAACUAAUUGAUCACAACCAGUUACAGAUUUCUUUGUUCCUUCUCCACUCCCGUUGCUUCACUUGACUAGCCUUUA